AUAAUAACACAAAGGAUUUUAUUUUUACCACAGAACGCAAUAGCCGUAAGACGAAACACAUUUGGAGAUCAAAGAAGUGAUUUUAAGUAUAUCUUCGCUUAACAUCGACCGCAAUUGUGUUUAGGACAUGCAUAUGCAGGAAGUGCCAGAGCAUAAAGUCACACAAAUUGAUGGAAACAAAGAAAUAGUUGAUAUAAGUAAGAUGACUCUUCGUGAUGCGUAUGAUUGACAAGAGACAAGAGGUAUACCACAUGAGCUUCAGUCCCUAGAAGAGAUGAGAACACUGAUUUAUUUAACUCAGUCCAAGACACCUAGUGAAUCCAGUGCCAAAAGGGAAUAACCGCAGUCAGCUUUGGUGAUCGAUGGAGCGCAACAAGAGGAUGUGGAAACCAUGGACAUCGUCGGCGCACAAAACUGGCUUAAAAGUAGAAACAUUAAACAUUACCAUAAGUCGUUGGAGGAAAUUUGAAACCUUAUUCGAACCAUUAUAAAGCCACUGUUAGCUGCCUCUCGUGUAAGUAAAUGUAUUACAGUAGACUCUGCCAAUACCGGACUCUCUGAAUACCGGAACUCUCCCGAUUCCGGACGGUCGGGCCAGUCCCGUAUUUUCUCCUUCUAUUUCUUUGUUAAAAAAUGUUGAAUAAACCGAACUCUCUGAAAACCGGAAACCGGACGGGUAUCGCCGUAAAUUUGGUCAUUUUCAACGUAAAAUACAUUGAGUAUACCGGACGGUCUAAAUUCUCAAGAUACCCGAGGCGUGAAAAUAACAAUACCUAGUCAGCACAGCGAGUG